rnacentral:misc_RNA from 1 species
UGGUUCUGGCAUCGAUGAAGAACGCAGCGAAAUGCGAUAAGUAAUGUGAAUUGCAGAAUUCAGUGAAUCAUCGAAUCUUUGAACGCACAUUGCGCCCUUUGGCAUUCCGAAGGGCAUGCCCGUUCGAGCGUCAUUAAACCCAAUCAAGCCUGGCUUGGUGUUAAGUAAUAGGACGACCCUAUACUUCAAUUUCACCGGCUGGCCGUCGCCCGUUUUAGCGUUGUGACAUCAAUUGUCGCUAUCGACGGGAGCGGUCCACGCCGUUAUAAUCUGAUGAGUUUUCUUCAAAACUCUGAUCAAGGUUGACCUCGGAUCGGGUAGGAAUACCCGCUGA